UUUGGUGGCGAUAGCGAAGAGGUCACACCCGUUCCCAUGCCGAACACGGAAGUUAAGCUCUUCAGCGCCGAUGGUAGUUGGGGGAUUCCCCCUGCGAGAGCAGGACAUCGCCAGGC
rnacentral:rRNA from 1 species